rnacentral:rRNA from 1 species
AACGAACGCUGGCGGCAGGCCUAACACAUGCAAGUCGAGCGAGGACUUCGGUCCUAGCGGCGGACGGGUGAGUAACGCGUGGGAACGUGCCCUUUGCUUCGGAAUAGCCCUGGGAAACUGGGAGUAAUACCGGAUGAGCGCUUUGGGGGAAAGAUUUAUCGGCGAAGGAUCGGCCCGCGUUGGAUUAGGUAGUUGGUGGGGUAAUGGCCUACCAAGCCGACGAUCCAUAGCUGGUUUGAGAGGAUGAUCAGCCACACUGGGACUGAGACACGGCCCAGACUCCUACGGGAGGCAGCAGUGGGGAAUCUUAGACAAUGGGGGAAACCCUGAUCUAGCCAUGCCGCGUGAGCGAUGAAGGCCUUAGGGUUGUAAAGCUCUUUCAGCUGGGAAGAUAAUGACGGUACCAGCAGAAGAAGCCCCGGCUAACUCCGUG